rnacentral:lncRNA from 10 species
AUCUGUUCAGAAUCAUUCAGAUAUAGUCCUGCCUGAAGAAAGAGAUAUAGGGUCUCCCUUUGUCAUCCAGGCUGGAGUGCAGUGGCAAGACCAUAGCUCACUGCAGCCUCAAGCUCCUGUACUCAAGUGAUCCUCCUGCCUCAGCCAAGAAGCUGCGACCACAGAGACAGGCUGGACUGCAGUGGCAUGACCGUAGCUCAUUGUAACCUUGAACUCUUGGCCUCAAGCAAUCCUCCCACCUUGGAUCAUGUGUGAGCCACCCCACCUGGCCUUAGUUUAUAUUCUGUACCCUCUUUCUACCUGUUGAAGAUACCUAAUUCAGCAAGCCUAUUGCUAUUGCUUUUGUGUCAGCCAUGAAAAGAACACAAAUAGAUGGCAGAGACACCACGGUGGAAGAAACAACACACACUGCAGACACACCAACUCAGGAAGGACAGAGUCACUCUCAUUGGCUAAAUGUGUACAGUCCAGUUUGCUGAGCCAGUGCUUAUUGGCUGACUGCCUGUGAUAACAGAGCAUAGGAACAAUAUUGAUCACAGCAUAGUAUAAGAGAUUAUUAAGUAUAAUUUAUUUUAGGGAAAUAUUUCAGAGACAAAUACCAUUCUGAUGAGUCAAGCACAUAAAAUCCAUGAUAAAGAGAAUGUUUUGGAUGGGUAUGGGAGGGAGUUUCAAGGGACCCUGCCUCCUCCUGGAGGGCUGCAGUGUUGCCCUUCCAAGUUAAAACAAAAACUGCCUGGAGAAAUGCAAGGGGUCUUUGUGGGGCUCUGAAGACUUCCUGAAUCUGAAUAAAAAUGUUUCUUUAUUUGGUUAAGAAGACAAGAGUGCACAAAUCCUUGAAUCUGUCAUAGAAGGAGGGUAGUCUGAGUCUGGCGUGGCCUUCGUGUACUGUGCUGAAGAACACAGAAAUUUUUGAGAUAUUAUGCACAAAAGUAGGUUUUGGGUUACCCAAGUGCACUGUUCCUGACACUUGAAAUUGUACAUGGAGGUAGCUUAGGUGUUGCCCAAAUCAUGCAGGAAGCUUGAAGAAGAUACCUUACUCUCUUAUGCAAUGCCAAAUAUCAGACACGCACAUCUCCAAAUUUAAUAUAAAGUGCUGAGCUCUGAUAUUGAUAUAAAAUAUUAAACAUAUUUAUAAAGGUCACUUGCUGUUGGAAGUAACUGCUUGAGGAGAGGCUAAGGCUCAAGACACUUCAUGUGGGAGUGGCCAUGUACUUCAGCCAUUCUCCAUCCAAUCCACC